rnacentral:rRNA from 1 species
CCUACGGGAGGCAGCAGUGAGGAAUAUUGGUCAAUGGGCGGGAGCCUGAACCAGCCAAGUCGCGUGAGGGAAGACGGUCCUAUGGAUUGUAAACCUCUUUAGGCGGGGAGCAAUGCCGGGCACGCGUGCCCGGAGGGAGAGUACCCGCAGAAUAAGCCUCGGCUAACUCCGUGCCAGCAGCCGCGGUAAUACGGAGGUUGCGAGCGUUAUCCGGAUUUAUUGGGUUUAAAGGGUGCGGAGGCGGAUUUUUACGUCAGCGGUAAAAUGUCCGGGCUCAACCCGGGCCGGCCGUUGAAACUGGGGGUCUUGAGUGGGCGAGAAGUAUGCGGAAUGCGUGGUGUAGCGGUGAAAUGCAUAGAUAUCACGCAGAACUCCGAUUGCGAAGGCAGCAUACCGGCGCCCGACUGACGCUGAGGCACGAAAGCGUGGGGUUCGAACAGGAUUAGAUACCCCUGUAGUC